GCCACUCUCAGCAUCUCUCUAUAAUUUAAAAAUUAAUUAAAAUUUUUUUAAAUAACUAAAAAUUAUAUGAUAAUUAAAAAUUAAAAAUUACCUACCAUGUGCUCCAUGUGACGAGCGAACGAUCUCGAACCCCCACAAUACGGCACGGUCUGUCUCAUCCGAUUCACCGCAUUUUGGACACAUCAUCUCUGUAAAAUUAUCAAUCAAAUUAGUAGAUAACAAAUUUAAUUUAAAAAUAAAUAAUUCAAUCAUUAAACUCUAAAAAAAAAAAAUUAGAUGUGUAACUUGAUAUGUCGGAUCCUCAUACUGUCGGCAUAUGGCAGUCCAAUCGUCCAUGAUGAUGCUGUCAUAGGGCUGCUGCCACGCUGCCUCCUCCCUAUGAUCCUGCACCAUCUGAUACCAAUGCUGAUGCAUGU
rnacentral:lncRNA from 1 species